rnacentral:rRNA from 1 species
GAUGAACCCUUGCGGCGUGCUUAACACAUGCAAGUCGAACGAAGCACUUUACCGGAUUUCUUCGGAAUGAAAGUUUUGUGACUGAGUGGCGGACGGGUGAGUAACGCGUGGGUAACCUGCCUCAUACGGGGGGAUAACAGUUAGAAAUGACUGCUAAUACCGCAUAAGACCACAAGACCGCAUGGUCCGGUGGUAAAAACUCCGGUGGUAUGAGAUGGACCCGCGUCUGAUUAGCUAGUUGGUAAGGUAACGGCUUACCAAGGCGACGAUCAGUAGCCGACCUGAGAGGGUGACCGGCCACAUUGGGACUGAGACACGGCCCAAACUCCUACGGGAGGCAGCAGUGGGGAAUAUUGCACAAUGGGGGAAACCCUGAUGCAGCGACGCCGCGUGAGCGAUGAAGUAUUUCGGUAUGUAAAGCUCUAUCAGCAGGGAAGAAUUAGGACGGUACCUGACUAAGAAGCACCGGCUAAAUACGUGCCAGCAGCCGCGGUAAUACGUAUGGUGCAAGCGUUAUCCGGAUUUACUGGGUGUAAAGGGAGCGUAGACGGAGAGGCAAGUCUGAUGUGAAAACCCGGGGCUCAACCCCGGGACUGCAUUGGAAACUGUUUUUCUAGAGUGUCGGAGAGGUAAGUGGAAUUCCUAGUGUAGCGGUGAAAUGCGUAGAUAUUAGGAGGAACACCAGUGGCGAAGGCGGCUUACUGGACGAUGACUGACGUUGAGGCUCGAAAGCGUGGGGAGCAAACAGAAGUAGAUACCCUGGUAGUCCACGCCGUAAACGAUGACUGCUAGGUGUCGGGAGGCAAAGCCUUUCGGUGCCGCAGCAAACGCAAUAAGCAGUCCACCUGGGGAGUACGUUCGCAAGAAUGAAACUCAAAGGAAUUGACGGGGACCCGCACAAGCGGUGGAGCAUGUGGUUUAAUUCGAAGCAACGCGAAGAACCUUACCUGCCCUUGACAUCCGGCUGACCGGCGAGUCAUGUCGCCUUUCCUUCGGGACAGCCGAGACAGGUGGUGCAUGGUUGUCGUCAGCUCGUGUCGUGAGAUGUUGGGUUAAGUCCCGCAACGAGCGCAACCCUUAUCUUUAGUAGCCAGCAUUUCGGAUGGGCACUCUAGAGAGACUGCCAGGGAUAACCUGGAGGAAGGUGGGGAUGACGUCAAAUCAUCAUGCCCCUUAUGGGCAGGGCUACACACGUGCUACAAUGGCGUAAACAAAGGGAGGCAAGCCUGCGAGGGUGAGCAAAUCCCAAAAAUAACGUCUCAGUUCGGAUUGUAGUCUGCAACUCGACUACAUGAAGCUGGAAUCGCUAGUAAUCGCGAAUCAGAAUGUCGCGGUGAAUACGUUCCCGGGUCUUGCACA